ensembl:snRNA U2 U2 spliceosomal RNA
AUCGCUUCUUGGUCUUUUGGCUAAGAUCAUGUGUAGAAUCUGUUCUUACCAGUUUAAUAUGCUGAUAUAUCCUCUAUCUGAGGACAAUACAGUAAAUGGAUUUUUUGAGCAGGGAGAUGGAAUAGGAGCUUGCUCCAUCCACUCCACACACCCACCUGGUAUUGCAGUACCUCCAGGAAUGGUGUAACCCUC